AUUGAACGCUGGCGGCAUGCUUUACACAUGCAAGUCGAACGGUAACAGGCCGCAAGGUGCUGACGAGUGGCGAACGAGUGAGUAAUGCAUCGGAACGUGCCCAGUCGUGGGGGAUAACGCAGCGAAAGCUGCGCUAAUACCGCAUACGAUCUAUGGACGAAAGCGGGGGACCGUAAGGCCUCGCGCGAUUGGAGCGGCCGAUGUCAGAUUAGGUAGUUGGUGGGGUAAAGGCUCACCAAGCCAACGAUCUGUAGCUGGUCUGAGAGGACGACCAGCCACACUGAGACUGAGACACGGCCCAGACUCCUACGGGAGGCAGCAGUGGGGAAUUUUGGACAAUGGGCGCAAGCCUGAUCCAGCAAUGCCGCGUGCAGGAAGAAGGCCUUCGGGUUGUAAACUGCUUUUGUACGGAACGAAACGGUCCUGGUUAAUACCUGGGGCUAAUGACGGUACCGUAAGAAUAAGCACCGGCUAACUACGUGCCAGCCGCCGCGGUAAUAC
rnacentral:rRNA from 1 species